rnacentral:rRNA from 1 species
AUGACACUUGGAAGAAGAGCACCUCGCACCGCUGGAGCCAUCCAACCAACACCUGCUGCUCGGAAGACUACUGCUGCUAAUGGCACUUAUGAUGGGUACAUAAGAGGAGUUUCAGAUCUUCCACCUGCUAUCCCAAAUAUUCAAGACCGCCCAAUCAUUCAACCUACUGGAAAGACGCAUUGGAAAGACAUUCCUGUUGUUCGAAAGGGCAGACGACCAUCAAGUGUAUUGACAUGCCUUCUGAAACGUAAUCAUCCAGGUGUUGUGGAUUAUGAUGGUGUGAAGCUAAGGUACAAGUAUGAAUAUGCAUACUCAGAGAAGGCCAAGCAACAUGUUAGAAGAUGUUUUAAUGAGUGGUGUAGUGAAGAGUGGAUUGCAAAAUCUAAGAAACAUCAUGACAAUCGUGUUAGCUCAAAGUUCAAGCCUCACAAAGGUGGUUUCAACUCCAUGACUACUAUAAGUCAAAAAAUGUCUGAGGAAACCGGCGAAGAAGUUAACCAAAUUCAGGCUUGGGUGCAUACACAUAGAGGAAUUGAUGAGAGCAAACCUCUAAUUCUCAAUACACUAGAAGCUACUAAAUGUCUGGCACUUUAUGACUGCUCUAAUGGGAAGCCACAUGGAAAAUGGCCUCUCUUUAAUGGCAUUGUCAAUGACACUGAGGUAAUUGCUGAGGUUAGAGCUACUAGUGCAUCUUCAGCAGCCUUGAAGCGUCGCCGAGCUGAAGAAAUUGAGGAUGUGCUUCGAAAGGAGCCGGAGAAGGCUCGAAAGGCAGAGGCUUAUGCCAACAAUGUCUUGUCAUGGGGUGUUGGCAUGUAUGAGCACUGCAAUGGGAUACAAAAGUUUCUUCAGGCUUUUGCAACUAACCAAGGAGUGCCUCUUGGUGAAAUACCACCACCACCAGUUCCACCACCUGCUCGCUCAUGGUCUCCUCCUGGAUGUUGA